UACGUAGGGAGCGAGCGUUGUCCGGAUUCAUUGGGCGUAAAGAGCUCGUAGGCGGUGUGUCGCGUCGGCCGUGAAAACCUGCAGCUUAACUGUGGGCUUGCGGUCGAUACGGGCAUCACUGGAGUUCGGCAGGGGAGACUGGAAUUCCUGGUGUAGCGGUGAAAUGCGCAGAUAUCAGGAGGAACACCGGUGGCGAAGGCGGGUCUCUGGGCCGAUACUGACGCUGAGGAGCGAAAGCGUGGGGAGCGAACAGG
rnacentral:rRNA from 1 species